rnacentral:SRP_RNA from 1 species
GCCGGGCUUAGUAACGUGGGCUUGUAACUCGAGUGAGGGCUUUGAGGUGAUGGGAUGUUGGGUCUAACCAAUGAGUCGGGGCCAAUGGCGAACUGCUGGCUUGCCCGCUCCAAGUGGAGAGUUGAGCUUUGUGGUUCUGGCAAAGGUUGGGACUACUCUGCUCUUAGAGUGGAGGGUACUGCGUGAGGCUGGUUUCACAGAGCAGCGUUCACCUCCCGCUCUUGACAGUGGAUGGAUCACAGGCUCGUGCCACUUGAUCCCAGCUUGGCUCCAUUGGUUGACCUCAAUUAGACCAUCACUUUU